GUCAUACAAGAAUUUACAUGCUAGCACUUUAAUUGUCAGAAGCUAGUUUCUAUUAGGCAGAUGGACUGUGAAUGAGUAACAGCAUUUCCCAUUAGUGGAGGGAAAAAGAAAAAUGAAGAAUUCAUCAAUGGGCAAUCAAAAUUGAACCAGUAAGCUUGACAAAAAUGUCUGACCCACAUAUCAACAGGCCUUUUUGGUGACAUGAGAGCAGAAAUCAGGAGAUGGAGUUCAGCUGAAGCACAUCUGAGAAUAUCUGAGCUGGAACAAUCUGCAUCAUGGUGGGGCCCCGACAUCUGCUUGGACUUCCAGGUGCAAAGUCAUGAUAAUCGUCCCCUCAUGAGAAUACAUGCUGGCUCUCAGCUGGGUAUCAGGACAAGAAGGAAGAGAGGAAGGAAGGAGGCAGCAUGUCUGAUGAUGCCUCCACUUCACAGUGGUAAAAAGGAACACGGGCAAAUUCUUCAUGCUGAUGGCUGCAUGACUUUCAGACCUAUGAGCUGGAUGUAGCUGUCCUGUACUGAUAAGAUCCUUCCUCCUCAAAUCACAGCCUUCUGUAGCAUCAGGAGCUUUGCUUACCA